CGGCGAGUGAAGCGGCAACAGCUCAAAUUUGAAAUCUGGCCUUCGGGUCCGAGUUGUAAUUUGUAGAGGAUGCUUUUGGCGCGGUGCCUUCCGAGUUCCCUGGAACGGGACGCCUUAGAGGGUGAGAGCCCCGUACGGUUGGACACCAAGCCUCUGUAAAGCUCCUUCGACGAGUCGAGUAGUUUGGGAAUGCUGCUCUAAAUGGGAGGUAAAUUUCUUCUAAAGCUAAAUAUUGGCCAGAGACCGAUAGCGCACAAGUAGAGUGAUCGAAAGAUGAAAAGCACUUUGAAAAGAGGGUUAAAUAGCACGUGAAAUUGUUGAAAGGGAAGCGUUUGCGACCAGACCUUUUCCUAGCGGAUCAUCCGGUGUUCUCACCGGUGCACUUUGCUAGGUUGAGGCCAGCAUCGGUUUUCGUAGGGGGAUAAAAGCCUGGGGAAUGUAGCUCCCUUGGGAGUGUUAUAGCCCCUCGCACAAUACCCUUACGGGGACCGAGGACCGCGCCUUCGGGCAAGGAUGCUGGCAUAAUGGUCGUCAACGACCCGUCUUGAAACACGGACCAAGGAGUCGAACAUUUGUGCGAGUGUUAGGGUGUUAAACCCUCACGCGUAAUGAAAGUGAACGGAGGUGAGAGCCCUUACGGGUGCAUCAUCGACCGAUCCUGAUGUCUUCGGAUGGAUUUGAGUAAGAGCAUAACUGUUCGGACCCGAAAGAUGGUGAACUAUGCGUGGAUAGGGUGAAGCCAGAGGAAACUCUGGUGGAGGCUCGCAGCGGUUCUGACGUGCAAAUCGAUCGUCAAAUCUGCGCAUGGGGGCGAAAG
rnacentral:rRNA from 1 species